GCCAAUUAAAACAGAAAUGUACACUAAUUCAUUUGAUAAAAUAUUAUAUAGUCAUUAAAUGAAAGAUUUUCACAUAACUUUUUUUUCUAAAUAGGAAUAUCCUACAGGUAAUAGAAAAUCAGAAUAAAGAAGUAUAUGUUUUCUAAAAAGUACUAUAUGUGAACAGAAUAAGGAUCUAAAGGAAAACACCUCAAUGUUUAAUUGGAUGUUUCUAGAUUGUGACAUUAUUUUUUUUUAAUUCUCUAAAUUUUCUUCAUUGAACAAAUAAGCAUUUGGAAUCUUAAGAAUACAGUAGGCAAAAAGGAAGUGUGGCUUGUUCUGGAAGCUGAACUGGAUUCAUAGAAUAGCAAUUUCAGGGAACUUCAAGACACUAAGUCCAUCUAUUUAGUCGUCUGUCUCAGAAGAGAGGAGGGUAAGUUCCGAAGGGUAAGUUAGAAAUCCUCAGGUAACGAAAAAUUGAACAAAAUCAGUACAAAUGUCCCUUUUAGUUCUAGGUUUGAGCCAAGAAGUAUAAAAAAUUUCAUUUUAAUGGUUUAAGGUUAAUGGUUUUGACUUUCAUGUCAAUUAUUGAAAUAUUUUAAUCAUUAUUGUUAUUUUCUAUGCCGUGGAUAAAUUAUUGAAAUAUUUUAAUAAUUAUUGUUAUUUUCUAUGCUGUGGAUAAAUGAAUGUUAUAUGUAGUUUAAAUUCAAAUAUACUUUCUAUAUAUGAUUAUUCUAUUUCAGUCUGGUGUCAGGAAUAACAUUUUUAGUUCUCUGAGGACCUGGUCUUAAAUCAUAUUUCCUUCUCUUAUAUAGCUUUAAGAACAUGUACUUAAGUUGUUUUAUAUAUCAUUAGAACUAGGUAUUGUUUUCCAAUUGGAUAGAACUAUUGCCUUAGAACUGUUAAGACUCAGGAAUCUGGAAUAUCUUUCUCUCCAUUCUAAUUGGUUCUUCACUUACUUAUUUUCCCCAUUUUUAUAUUAUUGGAAGUAGACAUGGCAUAAAUUUAUAACUUAAAAAUAUUUUUUAUUUUGCUUUGCUCAGUAACCUUGAUGAAUUGUUCUUUGGCUUGAAUAAUUUUUUAGCUAAGAAAAUUAUGUGAAGAAGAUUUCCCUUAGCUAAAAUCUCAUGAUCCACUUGUGUUAAUUUUCAUAUAUAGUGUCACUUUGGCCUGGGAAGAGUUUUCUUUGAGACACCGUUCCCAUGUUUCUGGAUAUGAAAUGAAGCCUUAAUGAUAGAAGAAUCUUGGAACUGUGAAGGGGAUGUCAGUACUUAUGAUGGACCAGAUCAAUAAUCAAGAUUAUUUGAAUGAAAAGUCUCUAACUCCUACCAUCACAUCUCUCUACCAGCAAGCAAGCAGUUCCAUAGCAGAUACCAGUUAGGCAAUCAUCCUCUAGUUCAACUCAAUUCUGACACUAUCAACCUGGAAAUAGAAAUAAUCAUUACUUUGAGCUGCCAUGAGCUGAGCAGCUUUCUUCUUCCACAUCCUUCUGCCAUGAUGUUCUGCCUC